rnacentral:rRNA from 1 species
AUUGAACGCUGGCGGCAGGCCUAACACAUGCAAGUCGAACGGUAGCACAGAGAGCUUGCUCUCGGGUGACGAGUGGCGGACGGGUGAGUAACGUCUGGGAAACUGCCCGAUGGAGGGGGAUAACUACUGGAAACGGUAGCUAAUACCGCAUAACGUCGCAAGACCAAAGUGGGGGACCUUCGGGCCUCACACCAUCGGAUGUGCCCAGAUGGGAUUAGCUAGUAGGUGGGGUAAUGGGUCACCUAGGCGACGAUCCCUAGCUGGUCUGAGAGGAUGACCAGCCACACUGGAACUGAGACACGGUCCAGACUCAUACGGGAGGCAGCAGUGGGGAAUAUUGCACAAUGGGCGCAAGCCUGAUGCAGCCAUGCCGCGUGUAUGAAGAAGGCCUUCGGGUUGUAAAGUACUUGCAGCGGGGAGGAAGGCGGUGAAGUUAAUAACUUCACCGAUUGACGUUACCCGCAGAAGAAGCACCGGCUAACUCCGUGCCAGCCGCCGCAGUAAGAC